CCCACUGAGAGGGGUGGGCCUGAAAGGUAUCAGAAAGGUAGCUGAACAAGGGCCUGAAAGCAAUCUAGUAAUCGGCGUUCUUUCGUGGUUCCUGCCGCAGCUCCUUCUUCAGUUCCCACCCGACUUCCUUCAGUAGUCAACUGUGAACAGGAUGUCAGGUCCUGGUGGUUGAGCAGCACCCUGAGCUGGCUGGAGGCUGCAGAGAGAUGCAAGCAGGAAUUGUGAAGCCUUCCCCUGCUCAGAUGUGUGAGGAUACGUGUGUUGUUACCCACGGAAGCAUCGGCCAGGAAUACAUCACCCGGGUUUUCUGGGGAAGACUCUGGUGAUGCCCUUUCUCAGUCCAGGAUCCAGGACCCAGCCUGGGAAGUCCUCAAAACAGGAUGUGAUCUCCUUACGCCCAUGGUGCAGGUACCACCAUUCUGCAGUCCUGUCCACUCCUGUAUGGCUCUGUCUCUUCUUCUCCCCCAUACCCCUGCCCUCAACAUUAGAACAGAAGAACCCAUGGGGGAGGAUGAGGUGAUUUUUUUC
rnacentral:sRNA from 1 species